UAAAGUAGAGAGAAUAGUUGCUGUGUUUUAUGCCCUUUUCAAUUUCAUAUCACAGUGGCUGUUCUUUUUGUGCCU
rnacentral:pre_miRNA from 13 species